AGUGAACGCUGGCGGUAGGCCUAACACGUGCAAGUCGAACGGCAGCACAGUAAGAGCUUGCUCUUACGGGUGGCGAGUGGCGGACGGGUGAGGAAUACAUCGGAAUCUACUUUUUCGUGGGGGAUAACGUAGGGAAACUUACGCUAAUACCGCAUACGACCUACGGGUGAAAGCAGGGGAUCUUCGGACCUUGCGCGAUUGAAUGAGCCGAUGUCGGAUUAGCUAGUUGGCGGGGUAAAGGCCCACCAAGGCGACGAUCCGUAGCUGGUCUGAGAGGAUGAUCAGCCACACUGGAACUGAGACACGGUCCAGACUCCUACGGGAGGCAGCAGUGGGGAAUAUUGGACAAUGGGCGCAAGCCUGAUCCAGCCAUACCGCGUGGGUGAAGAAGGCCUUCGGGUUGUAAAGCCCUUUUGUUGGGAAAGAAAGGCAGCAGGUUAAUACCCCGCUGUUCUGACGGUACCCAAAGAAUAAGCACCGGCUAACUUCGUG
rnacentral:rRNA from 1 species